AAUCCAUAGGUUAAUGAGGCGAACCGGGGGAACUGAAACAUCUAAGUACCCCGAGGAAAAGAAAUCAACCGAGAUUCCCCCAGUAGCGGCGAGCGAACGGGGAGGAGCCCAGAGCCUGAAUCAGCAUGUGUGUUAGUGGAAGCGUCUGGAAAGGCGCGCGAUACAGGGUGACAGCCCCGUACACAAAAGCGCAUGUGCUGUGAGCUCGAUGAGUAGGGCGGGACACGUGGUAUCCUGUCUGAAUAUGGGGGGACCAUCCUCCAAGGCUAAAUACUCCUGACUGACCGAUAGUGAACCAGUACCGUGAGGGAAAGGCGAAAAGAACCCCGGCGAGGGGAGUGAAAAAGAACCUGAAACCGUGUACGUACAAGCAGUGGGAGCCCCACCACUAAGCCAGUGGUGAACUCCACAUACGCAUCCUUUGCUGAGGAUACGGUUAACGGAGCGAAAGCGACGUUCAACCGCAAAAGAAGCAGAGGGGGCUUAGUGGUGGGGUGACUGC
rnacentral:rRNA from 1 species